UUGAAAUAAAAAAGGGUAAAAGGUUUCCUACAGUAGCCUUUGCACCCGGCCGCGGAGUCCCGCGACUCAAAAUAAACGAGGCCGUUGCAAGUCAGGAUCGUCUGCGACACAGCUAAACUAUCGGGGACCCCCAGGCUCUUGCGGCCUGGAAGAUCCGUAGCACGCAAGUGUUCACAGGCUAAAUAGUUGUGGGUCCGGUCACUCGACUGGGCUUGAGAUAUAGUCGGUCCCCGUGACGAAUCACGGGGAGGUCACGUUCCGUAGGUCGCAAUCGUUCAGCCUACUACAGCGGUACCGCCGCUAGUCUCCCCCGGAGGCGACACGCUCAAUGUUGCGGAGAGGCCCCCUGGGGUAAUCCGCAGCCAGCCCCCCUACCCGGCGCUGGUUCAGAGACUCAAUGAGUGUGGGUCGGGCGUCCGCCCGGCUUGAGAUAGAGCCCGUCCCUGCAGGCAACUGCGGGGGCCCAACGGAACCUGCGGAAGGAUCAUUA
rnacentral:rRNA from 1 species